rnacentral:rRNA from 1 species
CGACCGGCGCACGGGUGCGUAACGCGUAUGCAACCUACCUUUAACAGGGGAUAACACUGAGAAAUUGGUACUAAUACCCCAUAAUAUCAUAGAAGGCAUCUUUUAUGGUUGGAAAUUCCGAUGGUUAGAGAUGGGCAUGCGUUGUAUUAGCUAGUUGGUGGGGUAACGGCUCACCAAGGCGACGAUACAUAGGGGGACUGAGAGGUUAACCCCCCACACUGGUACUGAGACACGGACCAG